AUGAAUGGCUUUUGGAUGUGAAUGCAAAAGAUAGAUCUAUUCUAUACUUGGAGUGGCAUGUUUCUUUAGGACUAUGGUUUGGACGACUCACUGCAAUUGCAAGUAAUUUUUGGGUGAUGACAUUGAAGAAUUUGGUUGCUACUUGUCCAAUCCAUAGUUUUAAAGGAAUCAACCACUCCAUAAUUUUGGUUUCUGACAGAUGAGGUUCAUGCUAGGUAUCCUCUAUGUCACACACACACAUGUUAGAUUUAUAGAAAGUGUUUCAUCAGGAAUAUACAACAUCAACGAGAUCUGAGCCCAAUCACAUAAGACAUUGACACCACUCUCAACCCAAAAUCUCAAGAUAAUAGUUUUAUGAAUCUUUAUUCUCUUAUAUAAUGUUCUAUUUUUUCAUUUCUAACCAAUAUAAAACUUAUACUCACACUUAAAUUUUUAACAAUAUACGGUCAGAUCACUGAAGGUGUCGUAUCAAUGUCGAAAUCUUAAGCCAACAAAAAGACUACGUUUGAGAAAAAACACUGCAUUAUCAGCAGUAUGUCUCUGUCAUGAAAUAGGCACAAAAUAUGAUUUUAACAUUGAAUUAGUAAGAAUUGCAUAAAAUAAGAAUGAUCAAAGAAAAGAAAACACAAAAAUACAGGUUAAUCAGAUCAAGUAAUUGAAAGAGGGUACAGAACAAGUUCAAUGAUUUAAAAGCCAAUUACUUUGACACAAUAUUGAUUGAUAGGCAUCUCACGAGCAGAACCAACCAACCAACAGUUGUUACAACCUACGAAACAAAGACUGAUUGAAGCAAAUAGUUCAAUAUUGCUAUUCUACAUAAUGGAAUUUGACAAGAAAUGAAGAGAGAGAUAAAGAAGAAUACAAGCAUGGCCUCUGUAUACAUUAAAAGAGAAGACACUGGAGUUGCUCUGAAUCCCUUGAAAGCAUAACUUUGGAGAAGAAGUUCACUGGUUUUUCCUCUCCAUCAUCCUCCAAAAAUAAAUGAGUCACCCAGAAGGGUACUUGGAUUCUGAUCAUUCACAAAAAUUUUCAACUUGAAAAGUUUAAAUUCUUCUGACCUAAUUUUCAAAUUAAACACAACUUGGUGUUCAGAGAUGUAAAGCUUUAGACUCUCUUAAAGGAAUUUCAAAAGUGCAGUACACAAUUGUAUAGUUUCACAAAUAAAGCUUCUUAGUUACCUUGUACAA